rnacentral:snoRNA from 1 species
AUUUAAUGAUGUGGACAUUGUAUUUGUAAAACUCCAACUAUUUCCUAAGCUUCAUAAAAUUCUUCAUUAUGUUUUUGUCGAAAAGUUUGAAUUUUAUUUCGUAACUC